UGGGCAUCAAAUAAGUGUUGUAUUUUUUUCAAUUUUUAAUGACCACUAAACGCUCAAUGAUAUAAAUGUGAAUUUUUUCUUUAUUUCAGAUAUUCGUUUUGGCAAUUCUUACUUCUUUGAAAACAAGUGAAAACAUUAUAAACAUAGGCGGGCCAACACCCACGUCCUUGGGUCAAAACAUGUCGGCUUAUCAAGUUUUAUCAAAACCUCUGCGUAUAGGUUGGACACAAGAGAACUGGACGGACAGACAAGUUUCUGAUAAUUAGAUAGAAUUACUUCCUGGAUCGAUCGGCAUAAUAAAAGGUGGGUCUACCCCCAGUCCUCCCGUACCUUACAUACACCGUCAUAAACUUAUCAUAUACUUUGUAUCAUAAGUGAUGUAGGAUACAAUGAUUUCAUAUAAGUGAUUGUAAAAUGUUAAUGAUCCUGGAACACAAUGCCAAAGUAAAAUGUGGAAUAUGCUUCUAUCGGAUGACCUUUUUCGCAGGCUCACUUAGGCAUAUUUGAAGAUUUUGCGAUCAUUGUACUUUUUUCCCAAUAAAUUGAUUUUAUCACGAAAUGUAUAGCACGUUGCAACAUUGAACGUUGAAGUCACAGAUUGUGUGAAAUUUUCUGCCCACAAACCACACACAAAAGUUAUUUUUGUACACAUAAAAGUCCCUUACAAACAUCAGAUGUGUUUUCUUUGUACUAAACGGUGUAACAAUAGUUAUUAACGAAGUCAUUUAACCAAAUAUGACCUUCAUGCCACAUGCACGAAACGUAACUGCGGGUUCGUUGUUUUCGUAACAAGUUCUAAUAAGGUCCAAACAAUAUAUUGAAAACAAGCAAAAACGCCAUAGUGCGGCAUUAAAUACCCUACCGUAAAAUACUUAAUACCCAUGUUCAUAUAACGAUCUUUCACAAAAAGGUCCUAUAUGGCCAGAUCCCAACCAUUCGUAAUGAUGUUGAUGCCCUUGGUAUCAAAUUUCUCCAAAAUAUGUCAAAAAUUUCGAGCUGUACACAAGAACACAAGAAAAACAGAUGGACAGACGAGCUUAGAUCGAUUCAGAAUGUGAACUGGGUCUAUUAUCGUGAUAUAAUGAAGGUUGGGUCGAUCCCAAGUCCUUUUGGAUGUUGCAUGCACCCGCAUAAACCGUACCACAUGUGGUGUAGGUUACAAGAAAUGAACGGGUCUUUCACUAUAAAAAUUGCGAAAUUUAAAGUGUUUUAAAAGCAGCUUUAGCUUCGUUAUUACGUAUAAAGCCAACCAAUUAGUAAUUAAUGUAAAAAUAAAUUAGGCUGAACGCAAAAAGAAAACAAGACGGACGGACGGACAAGCGUAGUAUAGCAAAUGAUUGGUUUAGCCCAAGUUCUUUUGGAUGUUGCACAAACUUAAUCUAUCCCAGUAACACAAACCCCUGGAGCACUUUAGUAGGGUAUAAAAAAUUGAUCCGAUCCCCCAAUCAUAAAUGAGUUUUGUUUACAUUUACUUUCGAAAUCAUAAAAUGGAUGAACCUACACAUACUGGUUUCGGUUUCAGUAAAAUGAGUAGAAGAAUCGAAUUAACGAUCAUUUAAAUGUAUUUCAGUGCAUUUGGGAUUUGUGUGCUUGUAAAGCAUAGCGGCAACAUACGCGCGCGCGACGUUGAGAGACGUUUUCUAAAGCUUGCUUGUUGCAUAUAUACAAUACAAUACGUAAUACAUACCUGAGGUGAUGAAAAAGCUGCAUAUACCAGACACGUAAUUAAAAUGAAUAAAUGCAUUUUCAUGUUCAUUUUCAGUAUGUGUUGGAGGGAAUAAAAAA